CGGCAUUCUCCACCAUCAGCAUUCCCUGAUAUUGGAAUGCUCCAAAUUAGGACGGUUUGGCAUUUGCAGAGGUCUGCCGUCCCACCUUUCGAGUUUGCUCUGAGUUAGCAGGAUUGCUGAAAGAAGACGGCAGGGUUUUCCACAAAGGGAGGAGGCCUUUUGAAAGCUACCUUGUCGUCAAUGGAAAACAAAUGGCUCUUUCAUUCGGAAAGGAGCGAGGUGGAAUAUUACUGCAACAACCGAGUGUGUGAGAGCGUUUCAGCGGUGUGUGAGAGCGAACAUUUUUUUAAGUUGUGAGUGUAGCAAAAACACUUUCAGUAGUGUGCACAGGAGCGUUUCAGUUGUUUGUGUGUGAGAGCAUUUCAGUAGCGCAUGUGAGAGCAUUUCAGUUAUGAGUGUGAGAGUAUUUCAGUAUUUUCUGUUGGAGCAUUUCAGUCAUGUGUGCAGUGUUGCCACAGUUACCUUGAAAAAGUAACUUAGUUACUUUACUGAUUACUUGAUUUCAAAAGUAACUAAGUUAGAAAAAAGUAACGUUUUAGUUACUUUCAGCAGCUGCCAAGUGGCAGUAAUAUUACUUAUCCACAGUAUAAAAAAAGCAUUAGCUUAACCGUACCCAUUACUUGGUAAUGUACACCACACAAGUUACAGAAUCAUGUCAUCAACAUGAACCAAUAACUUAAAUUGUAAGCAAGUUUUUUUUAACAUGCACUGCGUAGAAGUGGUUGUACGAGAACAUUUAUUAUAGUCAUUGUUCAAUCAAAUUGUAUUUAUAUAGCACUUUACAUGCAUAAAAAAAUGCAACCAAAAGUGCUUCUCUGAGAUAAACAUGACGAGACACUGGAAUUAAACUUAAAAAGACUAAAAAAGACAAUAGGUCAGUAUAAAAACUGAAGGACAAUAAGAAAUACAAUAAAAUGACAAAUGAAAUAAAAUGUCUUCUUAAGUGUACCGACAAGUGCCGCGAUGUUGGCAUGUGUUGUAUAAUGGCGCUGUUGGGCAGAAUCCUCGCGUUUCCAAAAAAAAAAAUACUUGGAGUUACCAAACAUUGCAUCAUUAACAUUAGUAUUAUACCUUGUAUUGCAAUCAUAUACCAUUGUGCACCAAGAUCAACACAGCACCACCCCUAAAUCAUGUUCAAUUGCUAGUUGAAUACACUACAAAAAUUGCUAAUUUAUACCCUCAAGGCUGACCAUUUCCUUCUGCACCAAAGCAUUCCAGCCAUCCUUUUUAGCAAAACAGGCUUACUUAAAUGUAUCUAACCUAUUGUCACUCGUUAUUUUCUAAAAAAAAACAAAAAAAACAUCCAGACUUUAAGUCUUGAGGCGACAUAAUGCCGCACGGCUCCACUUUAGUGAGGAAGAGGCGGACUUUUACUUCUCAGACAGUUCAAGUGUCCAAGAGAGUUAAGCAAUUUGUUCUCAAACUAUUUUCAACACUUUAAAUUGGUUAAUAAUGCAUGAAAUUAACACACGACGUUGGGACAGACCAAUCGUAUCGAUUAGAGAAAACAUGAAAUUGGCCACAUUUUAACAUACUGGGUGUCUGCCCGACAAUGACGAUAAUAAAGUUCUUGUCAUUGUACAACUUGUAUAACAGUGCAAAUUUACUCCCUCCUCAAUAUAAUCUAAUAAUAACCCAACACAUUAACGUCUAAACCGAUAGCAGCAAAAGGGAAUACACCUCUAAGUGAAACAUAAAAAAAUUUACUUACUCAGAUAUUCAUAUUUUCAAAUGAUGUCUUUUUUUGGGAGGGUACACCCUGCAUUAUUUAUAAUCAGUUAAGGAUAUAACACACAAAUGCAGUAAGUACUGGAUCAGUGUGCGUAUGCGUGUGUGUGAUUGUAAAAAUGAGCGUUGUGAGUCACGUUUGUUGGUUCUUGCAUGACACGGGCGCUGACUCAUCGCUGGAGCCGGGCCGGUGUUGAGGCUCACACUUGUCAGGGAACGAGGAAACACACUAGGACGCAGGAACAGGAACGAGGUCAGCUGUAAGUGGUGAACACCGCCUUUACCCUCAUGAGGAUAAAUGCGUGCAGACUGUUUGCUUUUCUUAAUGGCAACUGCUUUCAAAUCACUCUGUUCCAGUCACAAUUCCCAACAGAUCUUAUUUAAACUUCAUUUUAUUAUGAAUUGGUGUUAAUGGAAGAACCCUAUUGAUUUUUAGGCAGGGUCUGGCAAGAUGGUGGAGGUAUUAGAAGGCAAACCAGAGCUAUGUUAGUUUAAAAUUUCUGAUGAUUUUGAUUUCAAUCAGUUGCGAUACUUUAAACAAUCUUCUUAAACACUUUCAGGGGUCAUUUAUUCUAUGCCAAACCGAGAACCCUGCUGACUUUUAAAAUGACUGAUUUUAGAAAGUGUUUUCACUCAGUGUUUGACACUAAUGCAUGUCCAUACUACACGCGCACACACACACAAAUGUAGAUGGACACGUGCAUGCGUACAUGAGCACAGGUACAUGCCACACACACACUCACACACGCACACUGACUGUUGAUGUCGUUGUUUGUUGAUUUCCCAGCAUCCCCUUGCCGCCUCUUUCAUUUCCUUUCCAGCGGCAGCGCAGCACCGUGACGCCAAUCGCCAAGGAGACGGCAAGCAAACUGAGCGCUUACUGCAAAUCACACGCACUCACAACAAAAAAACUCAACCGAGGGACAUUUAACAAACAUACACCUACACACACACACACACGCACACACACAAACACUAGACACACAUGGACAGAAAUGUACAAAGACACACACAUGCACAGGUAUAAAGACACACAUACACGCAUAGCCUAUUAUAGGCAUACACAGACACACACAUACACAGACAUGUAUAUACUUGUACACACACACACACCAAUGAUGGACCCAUAUAGGCUCACACACACGCAUGGAUACAUACCAGACAUACACGCUCACAAGCACACACAAACAUCUACAUAGACACACCACAUAGACACACAUGCACAUAUGGACAGAUGCACGUACGCACGCACACACAAUCUCCCUGCAGCCUUGUCUGUAAAUUGCCUUGUGCUUUCUUACAUUUCAUUUCAUCUCUUAUUUCACUUUUAUUUCUUUUUUUUCUUUUUACGACACCCUCAAUUAUUCAUCUUCUCUCUUUCUUUCCUGUCCAAUUUCUUUCCAUCUGGUGGCAAUGAUGAUUUAUUCACCUCUUCUUCUUCUUCCUCUUCUUCUUCUUCUCUACUGCUGCUCGUCUCCUAAUUGCUUCUUAAGAGCACUAAGUGCGUACAUGUGUACGCGCAUGCAAGCACACACCCGCCUGGCCCCCGUUGCUUCUCCUUGGAGCACAUUGUACACAUAUGAUAGCAUUAGAAUCACCCAAAGAGCACAAACCAUGUGUGUUUAUGCAUGUGUGUGUGUGUGUGUGUGUGUAUGGUUUUCCUUUUGGUGCAUGUAAAAGCCAGUGAGCGGUUGAAGGCCGUAAAUGUUGUGCGGUCGAUAAAAAUGAGACCAAGCGCAUCGAGGGAUGAGUGUGAGUGUGUGUGUUGUGUGUGUGUGUGUGUGUUGUGUGUGUGUGUGUGUGUGUGUCUGUCUGUCUGUCUCUCUCAGGUUUUUAGUAGAGAUAUUUUGUGGCUAGCACCGGCAGUCAUCCACAGUCAUUUGAAUGUAAAGUGUUCCCUCGCGAUAUUGCAGUUCACCUAUUGCGGAUUCAGUGCAAUGCAGAUUUCAUAUUUAUAUCGUGCAUAAUUAGCCAUAUUGCAGAAUUUUAACCGUAUGCUGUAAUCUUUAUCUGGUCAAAUUAAUACUUCCUUGCCUAAACCGUGAGGAAUAGUAAUAAGAGUCUGGGAAGAGUCAUACAGCUUUAAAAUUAUGAAUCAAUAAUAAUAAUUUCAAAAAUUUGUUUGCUACUUCGAUAAACAAUAAAGCAAUAAACGAGAGAUUACUGUAUUUAUUUAUCCAUAAAACAAUGCUAUGCUGUUUUUAACCAAAAUGCUAACACUAUGCUACGAAAGCAAGGCCUGGUGGGACUGGCAAGGUUGGCCAGCUAUGCUAACGAGGCGAGCUAUAAGCUCUCCCGGUCAUGAUGUUUGUAUAAGCAGAUUGCUUUGUGUUUGGAAUUAAGAAAUAGAAAUACUCUUCAAACAAAUCAAAUUUAGACAAAUCCAUGAUAAAACUGCCACCUUGCACAAAAGAAAUAAUCCACAAAGUAAAAUUAAAGCCGCUCCUCUCGCCAGUUGUUCAUGAAAACCGCCACCUUGCAUGAUGGAAAUACACAGAACUAGAAAUAAUCCACAAAGUAAAAAAUGUCCAAGGCAUGAUCAGUCACAAUAUACAUGGCAUAAUGCAAUGGCUCCUCUCGCCAUUUAGUCAUGAUGAAACCACCACUUUGCACAAUAGCGAUAAACACAACAACCAGAAAUAAUCCACAAAGUCAAAAACGUCCACAACACGAUUGGUCAAGCACAAAGAACAGUGUGAUUGCGCUGGCACAAUGCAGGCCUAAUAACUAAAGUGACAGUUCCUCUCGUCAGUUAUUCAUGACAAAACCCCCACCCUUGCAAAACAGAAAAACAGAAGGACUCGAAUUAAUCCAAAGAAGUCAGACUUGAUCACACAUGUACACCUGCAAUGUUGUUGUCACAUAACUAAAUGUGAUGCCUCUUCUCGCCAGUUAUUCAAGACAAAAGUGCCACCUUGUACAACAGAAAUAAACACAGCGACUCAGAACAAUCGACAAAGUUAAAAAAAAAAAAGCCCACUGCAUGCUUGAUCACAUGCGCAGGCACAAUAUACGUGACAAAACUAUUGUGAUUGUUCCUCUAGCUAGUUUUUUAUGAUAAUCGCCACCUUGCACAACAGAAAUAAACAGAACGAAAUAAUCCACAAUGUCAAAAAGCUCCACAAAAUGCUUGGUCUUGCACAGGUAUACACAAUCAGUGCAAUUGCUCCCCUCCCAAAUUAGUCACAAUAAAAGUGGUACCUUGCACAAUAGAAAUAAACAACGGUGAGAGGCAAUCCAAAAAGUAAAAAAAAAAAAAAAAGAAAAAAAGUGCAUGGCCAUGAUAUUCGCCAGUUAUUCAUAAAACCUGCCACCACCUUGAACAUUAGAAAUAAUCCAGACAGUCAAAAAAGUCCACAACACACUUUGGUCAUGCACAGGGAAAAUGAUAAACGUGAUUGCUCCACUUGCCAGUUAUUGAACUGUUAUGUAACUGCUACACUGCACGAUACAAAUAAACGACGUCCAAGUCAAAAUAGUCCAUGACAUGCUCUGUCACAUACAUAGGCAUAGGUACAAUGUACCAGGCAUAAUGCGAUGGCUCCGCUCACCAGUUAGUCAUCGUAACCACCACCAGCGACCGAAGGGGCGCAGGUUCUAAUCCCGGCUCCCACAGUCUGCAUGUCAAAGUGUCCUUGGGCAAGACACUGAACCCUUAAUUUGCUCCCAGUGGGCCUGCCAGCAUGUUGCAUGGCAGCAGCUCUCCAUUGGUGUAUGACUGUGUGUGUGUGAAUGGGUGAAUAUGAGGCUUUGUAAAGCACUUUGGGCACUGUGAUGGUGUAGAUAAAGCGUUAUAUACAGUAAGUGCAGUCCAUUUACCAUUUAUAAAUCAGCAGAACGAUUCGGAACAAUCCACACAGUCAAGAAAGAAUUCAACAGCAGCUCAGCAACAAUGUACAUGUCAAAAUGCGAUGGCUCCUCUAAACAGUUAUUCACGAUGAAACCACCGCCUUGAAGGGUAGAAAUAAACACAAAAGGGCCAGAAAUAAUCCACAAAGUGGAGGCCAGCAGGAGACAGGACAGAGAGGGUUGCCAACCAUUUAAAGAGGAAAAGCAGCAUUGAUUAAAGUGAAAUGUGUGCGUCAGUCCUGCUUACAUUGUGUGCGUGCGUGCACAUUCCCAGACAAUGCGGCAUCCCCAUCAUUAGCCACAUACACCGAGCGCGACCUGGCCCGCCGUGCAAGCAGAUGAGUCAUUAUCCAAAUAAGCGCCGCGCUCAGUCAGCAGCAACCGCCGCGCCGUUACUUCCUCUUCAAUAAGAAUCGGCGAUGUGAGCGCUCCGCUCAGGCGGAACCAGAUGAUGAGAUUCCAGAGGAGAGAGAAUAAAUGAAGGAAAAAAGAAAAGCAAAAACAAGCUCGGCGAACAAAACUUGGAAGAAGCGAGAGUCAGACAUGAAAUGUUCUAGAGGGGAUAAGUGGAUGAUGGGAAGUUGUAUGCGGGUCGCGGGCUGCUGGAGCCUAUCCCAGCUAUCUUCGGGCGAGAGGCGAGGUACACCCUGAACUGGUCACAUUCACACCUACGGGCAAUUUAGAGUCUUCAAUCAACCUACCAUGCAUGUUUUUGGGAUGUGGGAGGAAACCGGCAUGCCCGGAGAAAACCCACGCAGGCACGGGGAGAACAUGCAAACUCCACACAGGCGGGACCGAAAUUUGAAUCGCUGUCCCCAGAACUUUGAGGCAGACGUGCUAACCAGUCGUGCCGGCCAAUUACAUAUAAUUAAUUUUAAAUAAUUACAUUUGAUAAAUAACAUUUUAUGUUAAAUGUACACAAAAUAAUAUUUUAUGAACGUCAUUUUUUGCUAGAACUAAAACAAUUUUUUAUGUUUCACCUUUUAAGAAGUUAACAAGUCACUCAGGUGUACGACUUCUGCUGCAGAUUUGCUCUCGCAUGCAGAUCAGGUUACCAUACGUGUCUGUAUCGUGCUGUUUUUAGGCCAAGACUGUGUAAAAAAAGAUGUAACCACUUCACUUAUUUACACGGAUGCUCUCUUGACGAAUUUGUUUACUAUUGAGGCAGACAUGAGCAGCCGUCAGGAGCUUAGCUUAGCCUGGCUGAACUCUGCGACACGGUUUCCACCUUUAGCACUAACAUUACACACACAAACACACAUUGUGAGUGAUUGACAUGCCUCCAGACUGAAAAAGGAUGAGUACAAAUAGAGCGAUGGUGUGUUCUGGGCAGGGGGGUGGAGGGCAGAGGCAUGGAAGCACAGCCCGGAAACAAAUCCAAACGGACAGCGGAGCGCCAAACAGAAAAGACAGACAGACAGGCUGGCUGGGUGAAUGGAUGGAGAGACCGUUUGGUCAAGUGUCCUCGGCUACUCCUGGAAAAAAAAAUAAAAAAAUAGAAGACGCCAACAGGUGCUGCCAAAGGAACAACCCCAAAUGUUUUACGUGCCGUGUUUCGGGUUUGAUCAUCAUCACCGACAGUGGAAAUUUUGUCAGAUUUGAUAUAAUUUUGUAUAUAUACUUUAUUUUACUUACUUUACAUUAUGUGACUUUGUACAUCUAUUUUACACUAUAUUGCCAAAAUUAUUCACUCACCUGCCUUGACUCACCUAUGAUUUUAAGUGAUAUCCCAUUCUAAAUCCAUAUGGUUUAAUAUGAUGUUGGUCUACCCUUUGCAGCUAUAACAGCUUCAACUAUUGUGGGAAGGCUUUCAACAAGGUUUAGGAGUGGCUUUAUGGGAAUUUUUGCCAAGUCUUCCAGGAGCAUAUUUGUGAGGUCAUACACUGAUGUUGGACGAGAAGGCCUGGGUCACUGUCCACUCGAAAUCGACCCAAAGACGUUCUAUCGGGUUGAGGUCAGGACUCUGUGCAGGCCAGUCAAGAUCUUUCAUACCAAAUUCUCUCAUUCAUGUCUUUUUGGACCUUGCUUUUUGCGCUGGUGCACAGACAUGUUGAACCAGGAAGGGGUAAUCCCCAAACUGUUUACCUGUCCAAAAUCUCUUGGUAUGCUGAAGCAUUCAGAGUUCCUUUCACUGGAGCUCAGCGGCCAAUAUUUUGGACUUUUACAACUUUGUGGAAAAAGUUUGGAGAUGGCCUGUUCCAACAUGACUGUGCAUCAGUUACAACAUGACUGUGCAUCAGUGCACAAAUCAAGGUUCAUAAAGACAACAAUGAGAGAUUUUGAUGUGGAUGAACUUGACUGGCCUGUACAAUCCUGAUCUCAACCCUAUAGAACACUUUUGGAUGAAUUAGACCGGAGACUGCGAGCCAGGCCUUCUCAUCCAACAUCAGUGUGUAACCUUACAAAUGCGCUUUUGGAAAGAUUGUCUUAAAUUCCCAUAAAUACACUCCUAAACCUUGUGGAAACCCUUUCCCAAAGAGUUUAAGAUGUUACAACUGCAGAGGGUGGACCGAUGUCAUAUUAAACCAUAUGGAUUAAGAAUGGAAUGCCACUUAUAUUCAUAUCUGAGUCAAAGCAGGUGAGCGAAUACUUUUGGCAAUAUAGUGUAUAUUACAAUGGUCUUAUAUUUUGUAUUAUUUCAUGCAUUCAUAAUUAUUUUCUUCAUUAUGUUUAGAAUUAUUAUUCCUUUUUAUUUUUUGUAACACAUACUCCAAUUACUAAAAAAAUUACCAAUGCAAUAUUACAUGAUUAAUAUAAAAUAUUAUACAGUAUUUGUAAGGUUUUUUACAGUUUGUAUUAUGUUUUAUAUUUGCAUAGUUAUACUGCAUUUAUUUUUUAUUAUUAAAAAAACACAAAUAAACGUAUGUUGUUUUUUGAGGGAGGAAGGAACAGAUUAAUGGCAUUUCCAUCCAUUUGAAUGGGAAAAGAUGAUUUGAGAUAUGAGCUUUUUUAAGUUGUGAAUAUGGUCACAGAAUGAAUUAAGGUCAUAUCUAAAGGCACAUAUGUAUUUAUUUUAUUUUUUAUUAUUAUUUUGAUUUAUUUUUUAUUAUUUUUUUCUAUAUCCUUUUUAAAACAUGUCACCAAUUAGACCAACACAAUAUUAGAUUUGUUUUUCUACAAGAAUAAUACUAAAUGCCCAUUUUCUGGAGCAUAAGCCUUCAUAAAGAACAUUUUAUUUCACAUGUACCAAAAAUAUUUUUUUAAGAUUGUGUAUA